rnacentral:rRNA from 1 species
GAUGAACGCUAGCGGCAGGCUUAACACAUGCAAGUCGAGGGGUAACAGGGAGAGCUUGCUUUCCGCUGACGACCGGCGCACGGGUGCGUAACGCGUAUACAAUUUGCCUUAUACUGGGGAAUAGCCUUUAGAAAUGAAGAUUAAUACUCCAUAGUCUAUAGAUAUGGCAUCAUAAUUAUAGUAAAGAUUUAUUGGUAUAAGAUGAGUAUGCGUCCUAUUAGCUAGAUGGUAAGGUAACGGCUUACCAUGGCAACGAUAGGUAGGGGUCCUGAGAGGGAGAUCCCCCACACUGGUACUGAGACACGGACCAGACUCCUACGGGAGGCAGCAGUGAGGAAUAUUGGACAAUGGAGGCAACUCUGAUCCAGCCAUGCCGCGUGCAGGAAGACUGCCCUAUGGGUUGUAAACUGCUUUUAUAUAGGAAGAAACCCCGAGACGUGUCUUGGGCUGACGGUACUAUAUGAAUAAGCACCGGCUAACUCCG